rnacentral:rRNA from 1 species
AUUGAACGCUGGCGGCAGGCCUAACACAUGCAAGUCGAGCGGCAGCGGGAAAGUAGCUUGCUACUUUUGCCGGCGAGCGGCGGACGGGUGAGUAAUGCCUGGGAAAUUGCCCAGUCGAGGGGGAUAACAGUUGGAAACGACUGCUAAUACCGCAUACGCCCUACGGGGGAAAGCAGGGGACCUUCGGGCCUUGCGCGAUUGGAUAUGCCCAGGUGGGAUUAGCUAGUUGGUGAGGUAAUGGCUCACCAAGGCGACGAUCCCUAGCUGGUCUGAGAGGAUGAUCAGCCACACUGGAACUGAGACACGGUCCAGACUCCUACGGGAGGCAGCAGUGGGGAAUAUUGCGCAAUGGGGGAAACCCUGAUGCAGCCAUGCCGCGUGUGUGAAGAAGGCCUUCGGGUUGUAAAGCACUUUCAGCGAGGAGGAGAGGUUUAUGCCUAAUACGUAUCAACUGUGACGUUACUCGCAGAAGAAGCACCGGCUAACUCCGUGCCAGCCGCCGCCGUAAUAC